rnacentral:rRNA from 1 species
AUACGUAGGUGGCAAGCGUUGUCCGGAAUUAUUGGGCGUAAAGCGCGCGCAGGUGGUUCCUUAAGUCUGAUGUGAAAGCCCCCGGCUCAACCGGGGAGGGUCAUUGGAAACUGGGGAACUUGAGUGCAGAAGAGGAUAGUGGAAUUCCAAGUGUAGCGGUGAAAUGCGUAGAGGUUUGGAGGAACACCAGUGGCGAAGGCGACUGUCUGGUCUGUAACUGACACUGAGGCGCGAAAGCGUGGGGAGCAAACAGGAUUAGAUACCCUGGUAGUCCACGCCGUAAACGAUGAGUGCUAAGUGUUGGGGGGUUUCCGCCCCUCAGUGCUGCAGCUAACGCAUUAAGCACUCCGCCUGGGGAGUACGGUCGCAAGACUGAAACUCAAAUGAAUUGACGGG